GAAAGCGGGAUAAUCUGGAGCCAGGGAGGCGGAGGACCAGAGAGGACCAAGAGAAAACAAAUAGGAUUUCCUCCCCCCUUCGCCCUCCGAAGCAGAAAAUGGAGAAGGCAGUCAGAAUUCUGGGGGGCCAUGUUCAAUGGGAAUAUUGAAGAAACCAUUUAAAUACAUGGAGUGUGGAAAGAG